UUGUACACAGAAUAGGUGAAAU
rnacentral:miRNA from 1 species